UUAAAAGAGUUCGUAUUGUGUCGGACGAGUCCGACACAAUAUUCUCGUCGGACCACUUCAGUUAGAAGCACUUGUGCUUCAGUUAGACUUACUUGGGUUUCAGUUGGUCUUUAUUUUUUUUUUUUCAGGUAGUCUUCAUUUUUUUUCAAGUAGUCUUCUUUUUUUUUUCAGUUGGUUCUUGUGCUUCAGUUAGACUUACUUGGGUUUCAGUUGGUCUUUAUUUUUUUUCAGGUAGUCUUCAUUUUCGUUCAGGUAGUCUUCAUUUGUUUUCAGGUAGUCUUCAUUUUUUUUCAGGUUGUCUUCAUUUUUUUUUCAGUUAGUCUUCUUUUUUUCAGUUGGUUCUUGUGCUUCAGUUAGACUUACUUGGGUUUCAGUUGGUCUUUAUUUUUUUUCAGGUAGUCUUCAUUUUUUUUCAGGUAGACUUACCAUAUCAAGUAUCAUGGAUUCUUAGUUUUAUUAUUCUUUCAUGUAACACUAACCUCUGCUUUGUUGUUGUUGUGAUUGUGGUUGCUUCCUAAGCCGUCUGAUCUAGAAUCAGAAAAGCUGA